CUACGGGGCGCAGCAGUGAGGAAUAUUGCACAAUGGAGGAAACUCUGAUGCAGCAACGCCGCGUGGAGGAUGACGCAUUUCGGUGUGUAAACUCCUUUUAUAUGUCAAGAAAAUGACGGUAGCAUAUGAAUAAACUCCGGCUAACUCCGUGCCAGCAGCCGCGGUAAUACGGAGGGAGCAAGCGUUACUCGGAAUCACUGGGCGUAAAGGACGCGUAGGCGGGAUAGAAAGUCAGGUGUGAAAUCCUAUGGCUCAACCAUAGAACUGCACUUGAAACUUCUAACCUAGAGUAUGGGAGGGGAAGAUGGAAUUAGUGGUGUAGGGGUAAAAUCCGUAGAUAUCACUAGGAAUACCAAAAGCGAAGGCGAUCGUCUGGAACAAUACUGACGCUAAGGCGUGAAAGCGUGGGGAGCAAACAGGAUUAGAUACCCCAGUAGUC
rnacentral:rRNA from 1 species